rnacentral:rRNA from 1 species
UACAGAGGAGCCAAGCGUUGUCCGGAUUGACUGGGCGUAAAGCGCACGCAGGCGGAUGCGCGCGUGGGGUGUGAAAUCUGGCCGCUUAACGGCCAGGCGCCAUCCCAUACGGCACAUCUGGAGGGCUGCAGAGGUCGAUGGAAUUGCCGGUGUAGAGGUGAAAUUCGUAGAUAUCGGGUAGAACACCAGUGGCGAAGGCGGCUAUCUGGACGACAACUGACGCUGAGACGCGAAAGCGUGGGGAGCAAACAGG